rnacentral:tRNA from 1 species
UGCUGAAUGGUGUAGUGGUUUGAAUGUCAGACUAUGACUCUGGAAAACAGGGUUCAAUUCCCUGCUUGGCCA